ACCCCGCUGGUGUAGCGGUUUAACACGGCGGUUACUCGCAAACGCUAUCGACUGUACAUCGGGCCGCAGACUAGGGUUCGAGUACCUGGCGGGGUA